rnacentral:rRNA from 1 species
AAACCGGAGCUAAUACCGGAUAGUUCCUUGAACCGCAUGGUUCAAGGAUGAAAGACGGUUUCGGCUGUCACUUACAGAUGGACCCGCGGCGCAUUAGCUAGUUGGUGGGGUAAUGGCUCACCAAGGCGACGAUGCGUAGCCGACCUGAGAGGGUGAUCGGCCACACUGGGACUGAGACACGGCCCAGACUCCUACGGGAGGCAGCAGUAGGGAAUCUUCCGCAAUGGACGAAAGUCUGACGGAGCAACGCCGCGUGAGUGAUGAAGGUUUUCGGAUCGUAAAGCUCUGUUGUUAGGGAAGAACAAGUGCGAGAGUAACUGCUCGCACCUUGACGGUACCUAACCAGAAAGCCACGGCUAACUACGUGCCAGCAGCCGCGGUAAUACGUAGGUGGCAAGCGUUGUCCGGAAUUAUUGGGCGUAAAGGGCUCGCAGGCGGUUUCUUAAGUCUGAUGUGAAAGCCCCCGGCUCAACCGGGGAGGGUCAUUGGAAACUGGGAAACUUGAGUGCAGAAGAGGAGAGUGGAAUUCCACGUGUAGCGGUGAAAUGCGUAGAGAUGUGGAGGAACACCAGUGGCGAAGGCGACUCUCUGGUCUGUAACUGACGCUGAGGAGCGAAAGCGUGGGGAGCGAACAGGAUUAGAUACCCUGGUAGUCCACGCCGUAAACGAUGAGUGCUAAGUGUUAGGGGGUUUCCGCCCCUUAGUGCUGCAGCUAACGCAUUAAGCACUCCGCCUGGGGAGUACGGUCGCAAGACUGAAACUCAAAGGAAUUGACGGGGGCCCGCACAAGCGGUGGAGCAUGUGGUUUAAUUCGAAGCAACGCGAAGAACCUUACCAGGUCUUGACAUCCUCUGACAACCCUAGAGAUAGGGCUUUCCCUUCGGGGACAGAGUGACAGGUGGUGCAUGGUUGUCGUCAGCUCGUGUCGUGAGAUGUUGGGUUAAGUCCCGCAACGAGCGCAACCCUUGAUCUUAGUUGCCAGCAUUCAGUUGGGCACUCUAAGGUGACUGCCGGUGACAAACCGGAGGAAGGUGGGGAUGACGUCAAAUCAUCAUGCCCCUUAUGACCUGGGCUACACACGUGCUACAAUGGACAGAACAAAGGGCUGCAAGACCGCAAGGUUUAGCCAAUCCCAUAAAUCUGUUCUCAGUUCGGAUCGCAGUCUGCAACUCGACUGCGUGAAGCUGGAAUCGCUAGUAAUCGCGGAUCAGCAUGCC